rnacentral:ncRNA from 2 species
GAGGAAACCGGUGCGAAUCCGGUGCGGUCCCGCCACUGUGACCGGAGCGAUCCGGGAGCCAGGAACUC